GGCAUGUAGCUCAAUGGUAGAGCACUUGUCUAGCAAUUACGAGGCCCUGGGUUCAAUCCCCAGUAUUGCCU
rfam:Ictidomys tridecemlineatus contig043988, whole genome shotgun sequence.